CACUGAUCCUCAGGCCCUUACGGUCUCUCUGCCCCGUCUUCUGUGAUAUCCCCAGAGCCUUUACAGUGCCAAUUAUGUUGAAGAUGCAUCAAUUGGGGUUCAAAAGCCUAAGGACAGUUUAUCUCUGCACACUGACCAGUUGUGAAUCCCUGUGGUGGUCUCUGACUGCUGCAAAAAGAAGAUUUUCUGGACCUGAGCUCUGCUGAAGGAGGCAUCACCUGGGUCGAAGGCCGGCAUUAACUUUAGAGCCAAGAACACACACCGUAAAGCUGGUGCACUGACUCGGUGUCUCUCCAGCUCAGCGGUUCUCCAGGGUGACUUCGCACCUUGGAUUUGUCCCCUCAUCCACAGAGACGUUUGGCCCCAUCUAAAGGCUGCUGGAUGGAAUCGAGGCAGCUGCCUGGCUCAUAAGCUGAAUGGAAGCUGGGAGCAAGAAUGGAGCGCUGAACACAGCUCCUUGCUGAGCGCAGAGAGCAGCUGCAGAGAUCAAAGAUGUUGCUUUCAUCUGAGAGAACCAGAGCCAAUAGAUUCAGAGAGCAUCCCAAAGAGGGUUUGUCAGAUCGGCUUAUGCAAUCGGGGCUGGUGAGUGAGUCCAAUGGUGGCCGCCUGCACACAGGAGAGGCUCGGAUCCCAGUAGUCCAUGAGGCCGGACACUUCAGCAGUCUCAGUCUGACACUGAAGACCCUCGGGAUUCCCAAGGAUUCAGUCCACAUUGGAAGACUGGAAAAACUGGCUAUGCGCCGAUCACGGAAUAAACGCCCUCGACGGCCAAAAGCAAAGGAUGUUCCUUGGGGAAACAUUGCAUCUUCUCUGUGGCCACAAGAUCUCUCGGAACAAGACAAGUCCUGUCAUCAUAGGGGGCUUCUGUGGCUAGGCCAGCCUGACAGCAGAUGUGGAGCACGCAACCCCCUACACGCCAGCCUCUACACCCCCACAGGUUGGCCUAGACAGCCAGGUGUGUGUGUCAAGCAGGACAUGGCCCCUCAGGUGAGGCGCAAGUGGGGUGGCAAGUGGAGAGAGAUCGCCCCAGCACACGGUCAUUUGACAAGACACCAGCAUUUUAAAAUCAGACUUCACUUGCUUAUUUACCUAGGUUGUUGCACCCAUGACCUGGAAUCUAUGUGGGUGUCAGAGAACAACUUGCAGAAGUCGCUUCUCUCCUUCUACCCGAUGGGCCCUGGGGAUAGAAUUCAGUUUUCCAGGUUUGUCGGUAAAGACCUUUCCUAGCUGCAUCUGCUGGGUCUGCUCUCCUGGCCGCUGCUCAGCCUGAUUCAGGGAUGGGGGAGUCAAACGGGAAGUUGCCUAUGCAGAAAAACAAACACAUUGAGAUGCAAGCUUUCACUUCUACACAAAAAACACUCACCAGUGAGUGAGACUCCCAGGGUGCGCACAGUGGAAGGAAAGAACCAAAUCCUGCAACUGUGCUCUGCUCUCCACAGGCCCCUGAGCAAAAUAAUAUGUAAUAAAACUCCUCGAAGUCAUCUUAGAGAUUAUGUGUUGGGUCAUCUGUUCCCUCCCACCUGAGGGGUCAUUGCUUGACACAGCCGACUGUACAGGUCAGCCUUUGAACGUUUGAUGAGGAAGCAAACAAGCAAUGGGCAAGGUGGGAAUUUCUGCUCCCAGGCUCACCUCCCGGAAGUGUCUGAGAACUCCCGCCAAUGGCGUAGGACCUGAUUUCCACCCCAAGCUGCCAAGUGAAGCUGAGAGAUCUGUACUUACAUGGUAACUCUUUGCUCUUUCUGUGGGAUUUCUCCAAGAAGGCUGUUGCUGUUAGAGACUCUGCAGAAAUCCUGCCACCUGCUUUGGGGGUGACCUCGUCCAGAACAUAACUCCAGCCCGUGGUGAACUGUCUCCUGCCUUGCAGCCUCUCCUUCUUUCCUCCCUGUGUUCCCAGAAUCCCCUCCAGGAAAGCGUCGUGCUCAAACCUUGCUUCAA
rnacentral:sRNA from 1 species